UUGCACCUCUUGAGAGCGGCGGACGGGUGAGUAAUGCCUAGGAAUCUGCCUGGUAGUGGGGGAUAACGCUCGGAAACGGACGCUAAUACCGCAUACGUCCUACGGGAGAAAGCAGGGGACCUUCGGGCCUUGCGCUAUCAGAUGAGCCUAGGUCGGAUUAGCUAGUUGGUGAGGUAAUGGCUCACCAAGGCGACGAUCCGUAACUGGUCUGAGAGGAUGAUCAGUCACACUGGAACUGAGACACGGUCCAGACUCCUACGGGAGGCAGCAGUGGGGAAUAUUGGACAAUGGGCGAAAGCCUGAUCCAGCCAUGCCGCGUGUGUGAAGAAGGUCUUCGGAUUGUAAAGCACUUUAAGUUGGGAGGAAGGGCAUUAACCUAAUACGUUAGUGUUUUGACGUUACCGACAGAAUAAGCACCGGCUAACUCUGUGCCAGCAGCCGCGGUAAUACAGAGGGUGCAAGCGUUAAUCGGAAUUACUGGGCGUAAAGCGCGCGUAGGUGGUU
rnacentral:rRNA from 1 species